UUCCGGUUGAUCCUGCCGGAGGUCACUGCUAUCGGGGUUCGAUUAAGCCAUGCGAGUCGAGAGGGUUCAGACCCUCGGCGGACUGCUCAGUAACACGUGGAUAAUCUGCCCUAUGGUGGAGGAUAACCCCGGGAAACUGGGGAUAAUACUCCAUAAGUCAGGAGUACUGGAAUGUCUCCUAACUGAAAGUUUCGGCGCCAUAGGAUGAAUCUGCGGCCGAUUAGGUAGUUGUUGGGGUAACGGCCCAACAAGCCCGUAAUCGGUACGGGUUGUGGGAGCAAGAGCCCGGAGAUGGAAUCUGAGACACGAUUCCAGGCCCUACGGGGCGCAGCAGGCGCGAAAACUUUACAAUGCAGGAAACUGUGAUAAGGGAACCCCGAGUGCCCGUACACGCGGGCUGUCCCGGUGUUUAAAACACAUCGGGAGAAAGGGCCGGGCAAGACCGGUGCCAGCCGCCGCGGUAAUACCGGCGGCUCGAGUGGUGACCACUUUUAUUGGGCUUAAAGCGUUCGUAGCUUGAUUUUUAAGUCUCUUGGGAAAUCUCACGGCUUAACUGUGAGGCGUCUAAGAGAUACUGGGAAUCUAGGGACCGGGAGAGGUAAGAGGUACUUCAGGGGUAGAAGUGAAAUUCUGUAAUCCUUGAGGGACCACCGAUGGCGAAGGCAUCUUACCAGAACGGCUUCGACAGUGAGGAACGAAAGCUGGGGGAGCGAACGGGAUUAGAUACCCCGGUAGUCCCAGCCGUAAACUAUGCGCGUUAGGUAUGCCUGUAACUACGAGUUACCGGGGUGCCGAAGUGAAAACGUGAAACGUGCCGCCUGGGAAGUACGGUCGCAAGGCUGAAACUUAAAGGAAUUGGCGGGGGAGCACCACAACGGGUGGACCCUGCGGUUUAAUUGGAUUCAACGCCGGG
rnacentral:rRNA from 1 species